AGUGAACGCUGGCGGUAGGCCUAACACAUGCAAGUCGAGCGGCAGCACAGUAAGAGCUUGCUCUUACGGGUGGCGAGUGGCGGACGGGUGAGGAAUACAUCGGAAUCUACUUUUUCGUGGGGGAUAACAUAGGGAAACUUACGCUAAUACCGCAUACGACCUACGGGUGAAAGCAGGGGAUCUUCGGACCUUGCGCGAUUGAAUGAGCCGAUGUCGGAUUAGCUAGUUGGCGGGGUAAAGGCCCACCAAGGCGACGAUCCGUAGCUGGUCUGAGAGGAUGAUCAGCCACACUGGAACUGAGACACGGUCCAGACUCCUACGGGAGGCAGCAGUGGGGAAUAUUGGACAAUGGGCGCAAGCCUGAUCCAGCCAUACCGCGUGGGUGAAGAAGGCCUUCGGGUUGUAAAGCCCUUUUGUUGGGAAAGAAAAGCAGCAGGUUAAUACCCCGCUGUCCUGACGGUACCCAAAGAAUAAGCCCCGGCUAACUUCGUG
rnacentral:rRNA from 1 species